rnacentral:rRNA from 1 species
UACGUAGGUGGCGAGCGUUAUCCGGAAUGAUUGGGCGUAAAGGGUGCGUAGGCGGCCUGCUAAGUCUGGAGUGAAAGGUACCGGCUCAACCGGUACAGGCUCUGGAAACUGGCGGGCUAGAGAGCAGGAGAGGGCGGUGGAACUCCGUGUGUAGCGGUAAAAUGCGUAGAUAUAUGGAGGAACACCGGUGGCGAAAGCGGCUCUCUGGCCUGUAACUGACACUGAGGCUCGAAAGCGUGGGGAGCAAACAGG